rnacentral:lncRNA from 1 species
UAGAAAAUCAUUUACUCAUUUUUUUUAAAUCAUGACUCCUUGUUUUAUACGCCUAUGGUCAGUAGUAUUGGGAAAUAUUACUUAGUGAUGUAAGAAGUUACUUAUAUUUAGGGAUAUGCAUAUUGGCUAAAUUGAGGUGAGUGAAAAAACCAUACCUGAGGGAAUGUUAUGCGAAAUAUUGUAACUUUGAACAGCGACAUUACUACUAACUGAGAUCACUUAACACAUAGGCUGAAAAGUCCCGAGCUCAACAAGAAAACACGUUUUCUUUCCUUCACAAUUGGCUUUAUUCAUCAAUAAAAUAUCCAUCAAGAGCAAGAUAAUAAUUCCAACGCCGCUCUAUCAAAGCACUUUAUCUUUUACCUCAAAAUAGUCCUCAGUUUCAGCGAUAGACUCUUUAUGGAGCAAAAUUUCUUGCUGUUGUGCAUUUUUUAGGUCUGCGAACAGCCCGUAGUCGUUGUGUGGCAAAUCUGGAGUGUAAGAUGGAUGUGGAAGCAAUUAAAAGUUCAAUUUAUUUAGUUUUGCCAUUUUUUAUUUAUUUAUUUGUGACACGGUGCGUUUUGCUGGUGAAACAGCACUUUCUUCUUCUUCAAAUGGAGCCGUUUUCACGUAAUUUCGUUCUUCAAACGCUCUAAUAACGCUAUAUAUUCACUGUUGAUGGUUUUAUAAGCUAAAUAUUGUGCUUUCGGGCACUUUGGACGAAGUUAACCAGUUUCUGUCCACUCAAACUAUGAUCGUUUUGAUUCCAGAGUGAAUUCAUAAAUCAAUGUAUUAUCCAUUGUCACAUACCGACACAAAAAUUCCGAUUUUUUUUUUGUCAACAGUGAGCAAACGCGCCAUCCACAUUGAACAGAGCUUUAUCAUGGAAAAUGAUCAAGCAAUAUAAAGGAAACACGUUCUGUAUAUAUUUUUACGAUAUCAGCUAACUCAAAAAACUUCCUUUUCCGAUCCUCCAAACAAUUUUGUAGAUUUUUUUUAUGUUUUCUGUUGUUAACGCCUCAUUUGGACGUCCACUGCGUUCAGCAUAAAUUGUCUAAGAUCCAUUGUUUUGGAAAUAAAAAUACUAACAUCUCA